GUACUGCGGUUAAAAAUUGGUACGUUUGCGGGUGACUUAUGACUGGUUAACUACCAAAUGCGAUAACAGUCAAAUAAUAAAUUAACAAUAUUUACAUUUAAUAUAAUUAUAAAAAUAUCAAAAAUCAUAAAAUUAUAACUUUCUAAAUAUAAAUUUUAUAUUUACAUAUAUAAAUUAACAAUAUUUACAUAUAUUUACAUUUUAUAAAUUAACAAUAUUUACAUAUAAUUAGAAAGUUAUAAUUUUAAUUUUUGAAAAUUUAUUGAAAUUGUUUUUAUUAUAAAAAUUUAUAAUAUUAAUUAAAAUAUAAUAGAUAUAUUUUAAUAUUUUCAUAAUUUCAAUUUUAAAUUUUUUAUUAAAUAUUUUUAUUUUUGUAUAUAUAUUGUUUUAAAAAAAAGAAAAAAAAUUUACCCUCCCGCAACCGCAAACGCUAGCUGGAGUCAGCUUUUGAAUUUAUGAGAUUCAGAGCGGUUUGAAGCGGUUUAGAGCGAUUUGAGUGAUUGUUGCAAACCGCCGACAACCGCUACCAACCGCAAAAGUUGUGUUUGCGGGUGGUAGCAGGAAAACCAGUCACCCCCUUAAUAACCAAGACCCCAAAUUAUAUCAGAAAUAAAAGAAAUAAAACUCUAUAAAACACUGUAUAAAUAUUACUUCAUUAUUGUUUGUUUUAACAACAUUCAAUACAUUGUGGAAAACAAAAUAUACCUAGUUAGUAACCAAGCACUCUUGUAAGAAGCUGGAGGAAAAGAGAUCAACAACAACAUUCAAUAUAUUCAGGGAAGCGAUGCUACUGUAAUUCAGAAACGAAACACAGCACAUGAGCAGUUAAUCAUAAA
rnacentral:lncRNA from 1 species